UCUUCCGUCCACAAGCUUGCAUUGCUGGAGCCGGGGACCAUGGUGGAAAGAGGACCCACUGCGAUUGCUUUGGGAGAGAUGUCUCGGAAAGCUUGGAAGGUGGCACUGCCCUCGAGUUCUUCGAACGAGUUGAUCAAAACCCAUGACGUUGUGGCGAGGCUCUUGGCUCUAGCGCAUCUGCGAGCGAAUCCCGGCUCGUCGUCACUGGCAGAAAAGUCGCCCGGGAGGCUCCACAUUGGUAGUGGUGACAAGCCGUCUACGUAAGUUAUGCGCUUCUCAAUGGAACGAUCUGGUGGAACACGUAUAUGGACGUCAGUGCUUCUCGAAAGAAGGAAAAAUAAAAAAGAAGAAAGAAGCUUUACCUUGGACUGGAAUGUCUCCCUUCUCCAGCAUUUGGGGAAACGAGUUGUAGAGCAAAAUGGAAGAAGCACUGGCGACCCAGAACUUGACCUCUGGGAUUCCGAUCCUUCUGGGUACUUCCGUGGACCACGGGAACAACAUAUCCGAGAUGAAGCAUGAGACCGGAGGAACGAGAUCAUCGUCUCUGGCCAUGCUCCUGAUGAGCAAGCUCUCCACUGGACCCUGCAUCGCCAUCAAUGCCUCGGAGAACAUUGGCCGCGUCUCCGGGGCCGUGAAGUCGGCCUCGCUCGUUUGGACCCCGGGGACCGUCUCGAAACGAAUGCUGCCACCAUAGCCAAAGCUCUCCUCCUGUGAAACGAUGUCCUUCAGGUCCCUGUGGUUGCCCUCCGUGUUGAUGAAAGUUAUGACGAAGCCUCGCGAGGCCAGAGCUCUGGAGAGAUGGAGGAAUGGAGUGAUGUGGCCUAGAGUUGGAAUGGGAAGAACCGCUGCGUGAGGAGCGAGCCCCUCGGCACCAGUAGAAGAACUCAUUGACGAAGAACAAAGAAAAUUCAAGCUUACUUCGUGAGUGCUGUGGAAGGGUUUCUCACAUUACGUUUUCUGGAUCGCUCCAAGGCUGAGCUUAAGAAUCAGUGCGUUUUGCAAAGGUUUUAAUCUAGUGGUCUCCACAGUUCUAAUCUCCUUAUUGCACGUGGUGGUUCAGGAAUUUAAUACUCCUCUUGAUUACUCCCUCAAGCCAUCUAUUUCUUUGGGAAGGAAAAUAACACUUCCACCAACCUAUACACUUUCAAGCAUCAUCUUUAUGUGCUCUUGGUGGUUGGUCUGUCUGUGCAUUGGCCCCGCCCUCAUGCCCGAUGAUCCUCCUGCCACCAGCUGCGGCAUUGGAUAUAAAUUACCUUAUGAAACUUGACAAACUUGUCCGAACUUUCAUAUGAAGAUCUUGACUUCUUUCACUGUUGCUCCCUGAGCAGCCUCGCUGAGCUCCUUCACAUUACAUCUAAAGGAAUCGCCAUUCUCAGCUCCCAUGAGCUGCUCCACCACCUCCGCAAACUCGUCCCCGCCACCACCUUGCGAGGAUCUCUCAUGGGCGAGAACUUAAGAUCGAUCUUCCAGUCUUCCACUAUAAGCUUGCAGUUGAGAUUCUGCUCGGCAACUCAUGGCCAGCAAAGGAUUGGCACCGCUGAAGAUACGCUCUCGCAGCCUGUGGAAGGAUGCUGGAGGAUUUCCAAUUGAGGAGCCCAGCUCACAACCAGUCCAAAGCUGAUCACUUGCAAGGAGAGCCUUGAAAGCCUCCAGGAACUCGGGCUCUAUGCCAGGGACCAACUUGAGACAAAUGGCCAUUAUAACUGGCCUCUAGAGCUCUUCCAAUCUUGCUAGUAUUUCUUUAAGCUGUUCCUUGCUCUUUAGUUUUUUUCAUUUUUUGUUUUCCAUUUUUUAGUGUUUAAUUCUUUUAUCGUGGUUCCCCUUUGACUCCAGAACUUUACACUCUCUUUCUUCUUAUUAUUUUUUCUUUGUUUUUCUUUAGUUUCUUCUCCUCGCAUCAGUUUCUGACAUAAGGCAUCGCCUUGGAGUCUACACUAGCACAUUGGCCAUGGGUUCUUGCACGGGACAAAGUCCAGCACAUUCCCUCAUGGUUGCGUGUUUUGGAGAUAGCAUCCCCCAAAGGAUGAAAGUGAGAGCUUGGCAGAGAUGCAAGAGUGGAGAGAUGUGGCCUUGAGCUGGGAGGGAGAGAGAAAGAGUAAUAUAUUCUUGAAUAGAGUAGAUGCUUUGAAGUUUUCUCUUAGCUUGGAUUGAAGUUCAGGAAAUUUUCACUGCUUGACCAAAUCUCUCCAGGUUUUCAUACGAGGAGCCACCUCUAGACACUGCUCUGCGAGCCUCCUCGCUCAGCUUCUUCACGUUAAUCCUCAAAUGCUCACUGUCAGUUCCCAUGAAUCGCUCCACCACCUCCACAAACUCGUCCCUCGCCAUCACCUCGGGAGGAUCCGGCAUGGUCACGCACGAGAACUUGAGACCGAUCUUCCAGUCCUCCACUAUCAACUUGCAGUUUAGAUUCUGCUCGGCGACGCACGGCCAGCAAAGAAUGGGCACCGCGGAUGCUACGCUCUCGAGGAUGGAGUUCCAGCCGCAGUGACUGAGAAAUCCAGCGGUGGAAGGGUGGCGGAGGAUGUCCACCUGAGGAGCCCAGCUCACAACCAGUCCAAAGCUCCUCACGGUCUCCUUGAAACGCUCCAGGAACUCGGGCUCCAUGCCGUUGACCGACUUGGGUCGGAUGGCCCAGAUAAACGGACGCUGGAGAAGCCUCAGUCCCUCGGAGAACUCCUUGAACUGAUCGAAGCUGAGAGUCGCGAUGCUGCCCAAGGAAAUGUAGAGAACCGAGCCGGGACUUUGCUUGCCGAGCCAGGAUAAACUCUCGGUGUCUUCCUUCCACAAGCUUGCCUUGUUAGAGCCGGGGACCAUGGUGAAAACAGGACCCACUGCGAUUGCUUUGGGAGAGAUGUCUCGGAGGGCUUGGAAGGUGGCACUGCCCUCGAGUUCUUCGAACGAGUUGAUCAAAACCCACGACGUUGUGGCGAAGCUCUUGGCUCUAGCGUAUCUGCGAGCGAAUCCUGAUUCGUCAAUGGUAGAAAGGUCGCACGGGAGGCCCCAGAUUGGCAGUGGUGACAAGCCGUCUACGUAAGUGAUGUACUUUUCAAUGGAACGAUCUGGCGGAACGCGUUAGUGCUUCUCGAAAGAAGGACAAAUAAAAAAGAAGAAAGAAGCCUUACCUUGGACUGGAACGUCUCCCUUCUCCAGCAUUCGCGGAAACGAGCAAUCGAGCAAAACGCAAGAGGCACUGGCGGUCCAGAACUUGACCUCUGGGAUUCCGGUCCUUCUUGCUACUUCCGCGGACCACGGAAGCAACAUAUCCGAGAUGAAGCACGAGACCGGAGGAACGAGAUCAUCGUCUCUGGCCAUGCUCCUGAUGAGCAAGCUCUCCACUGGACCCUGCAUCGCCAUCACCGCCUCGAAGAAGAUUUGCCGCGUCUCCGGGGCCGUGAAGUCGGCCUCGCUCGCUUGGAUCCCGGGGACCGUCUCGAAACGAAUGCCGCCGCCAUAGCCAAAGCUCUCCUCCUGCGAAACGACGUCCUUCAAGUCCCUGUGGUUGCCCUCCGUGUUGAUGAAAGUUAUGACGAAGCCUCGCGAGGCCAGAGUUCUGGAGAGAUGGAGGAAUGGAGUGAUGUGGCCUAGAGUUGGAAUGGGAAGAACCGCUGCGUGAGGAGCGAGCCCCUCGGCACCAGUAGAAGAACCCAUUGACGAAGAACAAAGAAAAUUCAAGCUUACUUCGUGAGUGCUGUGGAAGGGUUUCUCACAUUACCUUUUCUGGAUAAGCUUGAAAUCGCUCCAAGGCCGAGCUUAAGAAUCAGUGCGUUUUGCAAAAGGUUUUAAUCUAGUGUUCUCCACACUUCUAAUCUCCUUAUUGCACGCGGUGGUUCAGGAAUUUAAUACUCCUCUUGAUUACUCCCUCAAGCCAUCUAUUUCUUUGGGAAGGAAAAUAACACUUCCACCAACCUAUACACUUUCAAGUAUCAUCUUUAUGUGCUCUUGGUCUGUCUGUGCAUUGGCCCCGUCCUCAUACCCGAUGAUCGUCCUGCCACCAGCUGCGGCAUUGGAUAUAAAUUACCUUAUGAAGCUUGACGAACUUGUCCAAACUUUCAUAUGAAGAUCCUGCCUUCUUUCACUGUUGCUCCCUGAGCAGCCUCGCUGAGCUCCUUCACAUUACAUCUAAAGGAAUCGCCAUUCUCAGCUCCCAUGAGCUGCUCCACCACCUCCGCAAACUCGUCCCCGCCACCACCUUGCGAGGAUCUCUCAUGGGCGAGAACUUAAGAUCGAUCUUCCAGUCUUCCACUAUAAGCUUGCAGUUGAGAUUCUGCUCGGCAACUCAUUGCCAGCAAAGGAUUGACACUGCUGAAGAUACACUCUCGCAGCCUGUGGAAGGAUGCUGGAGGAUUUCCAAUUGAGGAGCCCAGCUCACAACCAGUCCAAAGCUGAUCACUUGCAAGGAGAGCCUUGAAAGCCUCCAGGAACUCGGGCUCUAUGCCAGGGACCAACUUGAGACAAAUGGCCAUUAUAACUGGCCUCUAGAACUCUUCCAAUCUUGCUAGUAUUUCUUUAAGCUGUUCCUUGCUCUUUAGUUUUUUUCAUUUUUUGUUUUUCCAUUUUUUAGUGUUUAAUUCUUUUAUCGUGGUUCCCCACUUUACACUCUCUUUCUUCUUAUUAUUUUUUCUUUGUUUUUCUUUAGUUUCUUCUCCUCGCAUCAGUUUCUGACAUAAGGCAUCGCCUUGGAGUCUACACUAGCACAUUGGCCAUGGGUUCUUGCACGUGACAAAGUCCAGCACAUUCCCUCAUGGUUGCGUGUUUUGGAGAUAGCAUCCCCCAAAGGAUGAAAGUGAGAGCUUGGCAGAGAUGCAAGAGUGGAGAGAUGUGGCCUUGAGCUGGGAGAGAGAGAGAAAGAGUAAUAUAUUCUUGAAUAGAGUAGAUGCUUUGAAGUUUUCUCUUAGCUUGGAUUGAAGUUCAGGAAAUUUUCACUGCUUGACCAAAUCUCUCCAGGUUUUCAUACGAGGAGCCACCUCUAGACACUGCUCUGCGAGCCUCCUCGCUCAGCUUCUUCACGUUAAUCCUCAAAUGCUCACUGUCAGUUCCCAUGAAUCGCUCCACCACCUCCACAAACUCGUCCCUCGCCAUCACCUCGGGAGGAUCCGGCAUGGUCACGCACGAGAACUUGAGACCGAUCUUCCAGUCCUCCACUAUCAACUUGCAGUUUAGAUUCUGCUCGGCGACGCACGGCCAGCAAAGCAUGGGCACCGCGGAUGCUACGCUCUCGAGGAUGGAGUUCCAGCCGCAGUGACUGAGAAAUCCAGCGGUGGAAGGGUGGCGGAGGAUGUCCACCUGAGGAGCCCAGCUCACAACCAGUCCAAAGCUCCUCACGGUCUCCUUGAAACGCUCCAGGAACUCGGGCUCCAUGCCGUUGACCGACUUGGGUCGGAUGGCCCAGAUAAACGGACGCUGGAGAAGCCUCAGUCCCUCGGAGAACUCCUUGAACUGAUCGAAGCUGAGAGUCGCGAUGCUGCCCAAGGAAAUGUAGAGAACCGAGCCGGGACUUUGCUUGCCGAGCCAGGAUAAACUCUCGGUGUCUUCCUUCCACAAGCUUGCCUUGUUAGAGCCGGGGACCAUGGUGAAAACAGGACCCACUGCGAUUGCUUUGGGAGAGAUGUCUCGGAGGGCUUGGAAGGUGGCACUGCCCUCGAGUUCUUCGAACGAGUUGAUCAAAACCCACGACGUUGUGGCGAAGCUCUUGGCUCUAGCGUAUCUGCGAGCGAAUCCUGAUUCGUCAAUGGCAGAAAGGUCGCGCGGGAGGCCCCAGAUUGGCAGUGGUGACAAGCCGUCUACGUAAGUGAUGUACUUUUCAAUGGAACGA
rnacentral:lncRNA from 1 species